AUGGUACACAACGGAGGAUGUGAAGACUACAAGCCUGGUUUGUGCCCAGCGAACAACAGCCUGCAAGAAGAAGUCCAGAAGGUUCCUGACAAGCUGGAGAAAAGGGAAUGGGGUUCCACGACUUCGAAGCCAAGGCGCAAAACUGGCCCCCAAAAUGCCGGAGGCGAUCCUUUGCUGAGCGCUUCACCCUCGCGUUUCUCAGCCCGCGUUCAAGCCCGGGAUCCGGACCGAGGAGGAAAGGAGGCGGCGGCGGGAGAAGGAGGCCAGGAAGGAGUCCAAGGGUCCGAAGGGGAGGGAAGAGGCCGCAGAUUCAAAACCGUUAGGUCUCUUCUCCCCGCGCCCGCUCCAUCCCCGUUACGCGCCGUCCCUCCCCUUUACGGUUUCUUUUUCCACAUCUCUUCCUGUCCAAACAUUUUUAAAUUUCCGCGCCUUCCCCAACAGUCUGGUUUGUUGUUUACUGCGUUUCCUCCGAGGCCUUUCAGGUCGAAGCCCCUUCUGGCGCCGGACAAGAGAGAGAGAGAGAUUGAGAGAGAGAGACCCCAAAGGACGCGCCCUCGCCCACCGGGAUACUGCUACUGCUGCUGCUUCCUCCUCCUCUUCUUCCAGAAAGACCCCGAUCCCCCUCGAAACCUCCCCCCAGCUCGGUCAAAAAUGCCGGAAACGCUCCUAAGGAGAAAUACUCCAUCCCUUCGCCGUUUUCUUUCCUCGGAGAGGAUGCCGGAGGGGAAAAGGCGGCGGCGGCGGCGACUGCGCCUUUGCGCGCUCCUGGCAAGCUCUUGCCUUUCUUCCUGGAAAAGCCUCCCUUCGCCAAAGAGCCAAAGGCAGCUUGCGCAUCAGGGCUCCAGAACGUGGGUUUGGAGGCCCAGCGUGUCAAGAUCCCAAAGGACCUAAUAAGACUCAGACGGGAUGAAGGCAAAGAACUGAGGCAUUUAUUCAACUUGGCCGAAACAGAUGUCAACAGAGUCUGUGCUUCAAAAAUGGACAAAAGUGCAAUUGCAAACAUACAGAUUUAUUUAUAGCAUUUUGACAGCUAUUCAAAACAAAGACUUUGCUGCACUGGCCACUAAUUGGUCCAGAUCGGUGCCAGCUAGAAUCCACUCACUGAUAGGAGCAGGAGCACCAUUUGUCAUUGCUGUUGAUUGGUUUGCAAAUGUGGCACAAAAUUUAAUAAACUGUCAUUGCUUGAUUUGAAA